UUCAAGUGAGGAACUCAGUAAAGGUC
rnacentral:piRNA from 1 species